ensembl:lncRNA
GAGACGACAUGUAAUGUUACUAUAAUUAAAGGUUAUCAUUAUUCGAUAUCUGUUGGGCAGAAUAAGGUGAGAAUGAUCUGUAGGUUUCUACACAAUAUUGAUUAGUGCCCCUUUAAGGAUGGAGGGGACUCAAAUGUUACAUUUCUGUGAAUUUAUGGCAAACUAAUAAUGGUUGGCCUUCGGCUAAAACAUUUAACAGUUGUAACUUCAGACAACACCUUCCUACUCUUAUUAAUGUUUGACCAAACAUGUUAAUUUGAUGUAGUACAAGGUCAUAAACCAUCAAAAACAUAUUACGUUGUCAGAGGUGCAGAAGAACUAACUAAAUCACAAGAAUAAUCUUUCAGAAAGUGGCUUUUUAAAAUAGUUGUAUUACAUUUUGAUAGCGAGGUGGGUCUGAGAGAGAGACAGAGACUAAUGUUGAACAUAUUUAUGAGUGGUGCUUUAGUUUAAGAGCUGUGAGGGACUUUGUCUCCCUUUUAGCCAAAAACAAUGACACAUCUUCAAAAUGACCUUUACCAUCAUUUUCACACAUAAUGACGAAUGUGACUAGAACGAAACAAAAUGACACAAAGGGCUGCUAACAGACAACAACAAAGGCCACAUUUUAUUUUUGCCUUUAAUUUGCUUUCAAUCAAUACAUAUGAGCAACGUGGGCUACAGAACACGCUAACGUCCGUAGGGAGGCAAACAGCAACGCUGCAUCUCAGCGGAAGGACAAAAGACAUUCAGAGGGAGGACACGUGUGCUGGAGAGGCGAAAGGGCCGCGUUCACUUCCUCUGAUGCUCGCCCUUUAGCAGCAUGUGUGUUAUCUGGGUGUGUGUGACGUCUGCGUGGGCGCACAACGCGCAUAGACCGGCGCUACAUUGCCGCUUCUUAAUGUGGCCCUCGUUGUGUUGUGUAGGGAGAGAGAUGAGAGCAUUGAGCGGCAACCGCACACCGUCCUCUCGCCGUUACUUCAGAGGACAUUACAUUGACUCACAUUCAUUUCCUGGAGACAAAAGCCUAAGUUUCCUCUUCCAAACAUUACCCAAAACCUAAUAUAUAUAUUGACCCUGAAAGAACUCUCCUCCAUUAGAUGAGGACUCGCUCAAACAGACACAAACACACACACAACAACAACUCUAACCUAAAUCACAUCCAAUCUGAACCCUCAAAGACAGCCAACAUGUCCUCAAUUUAUAGGUCCUCACUCUGAAGGUCUAACCCGCCAACUGGUCCCCAAAUGCAUAUUUCCUCACAAUCAAACACACGUUUCUCAGAUGAAGUUUACUCCAGGAGCAUCUGCUGGACCAGCCGUCAAUUCAGAAGUUGCCACAUGCACAAAUAGGAACGUGCACACACACACACACACACACAAUAAACAAAGACGAGUGACGUCACUGUGCUCUCGGCAUGCUCCGGGGAGUUCUGUUGUCAUGGCGACCCCCCAGUCACACGGACUCAGGAACUGUACUAGUGCGGCCGCCUGUACCGAGGACGCACAAACCCGUCUCUGGUGUUUGCGGAGCAUCUACACAAUAUGUUGCAAAACUCCAAAGCAGAGCCGGGGAUCAAACCACCGGUCGUCGUGUCGGAGGACGACCCCCCCCCCCCCCCCGCUCGCCCGUCUUCCUUCUCGAGACGCCAAAGCGAUGGAUGAACCGCCUCAGAAGUUGCGGUCUGAAUGGCUGAGAUUUCAUAUUUAAAAUAUUUUUGUAUGUAUGAAAUUAAAACACCUUAAAUAUCCAUGAGUAUCUCGAGCGGAUCAAGGUUCAGGCCGUCCUCCUUUUCCUCUGUGUCUGUUUCUUUCAACAGUGUAAUGAUGGUCUUAUAACAUGUUCAGUGGGAGCUUACAAUACCGUCAGACACAAUUUAAUCAGCGCUGUAAUUUGAUCGGGACCUGCUGCCAUCUUUGUUUGAGCAACAUUGCCGCUCACAUGGCAACAAACAAAUUGGGCUUUGGGUGAACUGCUCACGAGCAACGAGAAAAAUAAAGAAACGGCAGAAUUAUUUUACAGCUAGUUUUCUUUUCAGGUUUAAUCAUAGACAAUAUCUUGGAAACAUAGUUCCAAGAAAUCGUGGCUAUGUAAUUACAAGAACAUUCGACAUGGAAUAUCUAUAAUUCGGAGUAAUUGAGUUAGAACGCCCAAUAACUGAGCACGGCUACGGCUUUGAGUCUGACCCGUGACCUUUUGUUUCAUGUGGUUUCGGGUCUCGGUCUGGCUUUGUGUGUCCUCUCCUACAUUCUCCGUCUCUCUCGCUCAUGCACGUCAUCUUAAUAAAUCGCUCUGCAGAGCAGCAGAGCGUCACCUCCAGACCUUUGUAUCAGCGAGGGAGGAAGUUCUCUUUCUACCAUUUACUCUGCUUUUGUUUGAUUUAGGACCCGCUACGUCAUUCGCUGCCACCGCGACAUGUUCGCACCAUAAUGGGACGUCGUUAGUUGGAGGUACAUCCAGAAGAGGAGCAGUAGCGCUUGAAGCAACCCCCGAUCGGAGAGGUCAACAGCGGAAGUGGGGGAGGAGGCGGUGAGGCUGAAGAACGCCGCCAUUAACGAGACUUUUAUGACCAAGUCGCGGACAAACGGCCUGAUACACUCACCUGCAUGAACUGCUCAUAAGUGCAAUGGCGAACACCUUUCUGUGAAAGGUUGAAAAUGAUUGGCCAGUUGGUUUUACGCAGCCCCAACGCCUCUCACCAUGGACACAAACCGUGUGUGCCUCCCUUCUGGGUGGAGGCUGCAGAAUAUCACUGUACAAAUACAGUUUCUUCCCAUCUGCAGGUGGGUUCAUCAACGUUUUAAUGUGCCGAUUUAAUAUUUGGUAACCGUAUUUUAUCAUAAAUUUAUGAAUCUUCAUAUUUCACUACAAUCACUGAGCAAAUUCUGUUGAAUGUGUGUUAGAAAAAAUGGAAAGAAAUGGAAGAGAGUCAAUAAAACCUUACAACAUUAGCCAACACAGCCACCAUGCUGUUCCUGUUCCUGUCUGAUAAAAUCAUCCUGAAAAAAAACACUUUCAUAGAUUCUCUGUCCACUAAGACAGAACAAUAAUUUCAUUUCCGCAACAAUGUGUAACUCACUUGGCAAUAAAUAUGCCAAGUUUUUGAUGCUGUUAGUAUAUCGGCUGGUUCUGUAAAGCAAAGCUCUUACAGAUUCUUUGUUUCAUUACUCCUUUCUUUAGUAAAGUCAGUACUCAUCUUGCCUGUUUGUGCUUCUCUUCCCCACUGACUUUGUACCACUUAUUGACGUGGCAAUCAAACAGAGAGGCGGUUUUCAAAGUACAGUAAAGCACACAAUGAGGUCAAUUACGUCUGCAAGAGUUGCUAAUGUCUUCCUUCCUUGCUUUCAAAUGAUUGUCUCCCUCCCAUCCAUUAAUGCGAGAUGAUUAGAGCCAUUACAAAAUAACCCGAUCCAUUCAGCCCUACUUACGCUCAGCGGAUUACAUUCAUGACUCGCGUUCAGCCCCCUGGGCAGAAGUCCACGUAGGCCGGCAGUAAGCGCUGGAUGACUUUGUGCUCUGCUUUCUUGACCACUGCCAUAUUAUACCUAUCGUCGACAUAUACGGACUGGACAACUGGCUAGGUAGCUGGUUGGCUUGUCCAUUUCCAGAGGCUCCCCGGGCCCCUUAACGAGAGCACACUGUGUGGGAUGGGUUGAAUCUUUUAUCAGAUAAAAUGUAUGCAAGAGCGAUUGUGGUACCCAACAAUACUGCAAGAGUGCUGCAGCAAACACUGUGAUGGCAUCAUUUAAAAGAUAUUUUUCCAGUGCUUGUAUGGUUAAUAUACCAUAAUAAUAUUAGUGCUGAGCAAAGAUGAAAAAAUUGAAUCGAUUAAUCGCUGGACUUUUCUGUGAUUAAUGGUGAUUAAUCGCAUUAUGCGCAAAAUGUAAUAAUUCAAUGAAAACCAGUGUAUUGCACACUUUUAUUUUAAAGUAAUGUUACCAGAACAAUAUAGAAAGAAACAUUUGUCUUUUAUCAGGGAACAGUAUAAUGCAGCAUAUGUUCAGUAGGAAGGGUCCCUAUGAGGUGGUGUACUCCGGGCUCCUAGUACUCCAGCCUCCGUGUACUCCGGGCUCCUAGUACCACAGGCUCCUAGUACUACAGGCUCCUAGUUAUCCGGGCUCCUAAGACUCUAGGCUCCUAGUACUACAGGCUCCUAGUACUCCAAGCUCCUAGUACUCCGGGCUCCUAGUACUACAGGCUCCUAGUAAUCCGGGCUCCUAAAACUCAAGGCUCCUAGUACUCCGGGCUCCUAGUACUCCAAGCUCCUAGUACUCCAGGCUCCUGGUACUACAGGCUCCUAGUACUCCAAGCUCCUAAUACUCCCGGCUCCUAGUACUACAGGCUCCUAGUAAUCCAGGCUCCUAAGACUCUAGGCUCCUGGUACUCCGGGCUCCUAGUACUAUAGGCUCCUAGUACUAUAGGCUCCUAGUACUCCAAGCUCCUAGUACUCCAGGCUCCCGGUACUCUAGGCUCCCAGUACUACAGGCUCCCAGCACUACAGGCUCCUAGUACUACAGGCUCCUAGUACUCUAGGCUCCUAGUACUCCAGGCUCCCAGUACUCUAGGCUCCCGGUACUCUAGGCUCCCAGUACUACAGGCUCCCAGCACUACAGGCUCAUAGUACUACAGGCUCCUAGUACUACAGGCUCCUAGUACUCUAGACUCCUAUUACUCUAGGCUCCCAGUACUCUAGGCUCCCAGUACUACAGGCUCCUAGUACUUCGGGCUCCUAGUAUUCCGGUGAUAUAUAAUUUGUAGUGGUUACAAAUAGCUCUGCUUUUAUCGACUGCGCCACCUGGUAGGGCUUUCAAGAAAAAAGCGUGAGACUUUUCUAGAUUUUCUCGGUUGACGUGUGCAGCAGUUAUAAGAACGACCCAAAGCUCAAAAACAUCCCGUUAACACACGAGACAAUGCUGAAGUUAAUGGAUACAUUAUAGAUCACAAACAGAAACAUGUUUUCCUCUCUUCAUUCACUCAUUUAAUUUAACUUCCGUUUUCAAUUUCAUGGUUGUUUGUCCUACGGAUCCGCGCCUUCUGUGCUCUCCCCCCGCGGGAGCACAACAUGCUGCGUACACAGACACACACACACACACACACGAUCACAUGAAGUCAUCAAUACUUGACCGGGGCAUUGGGCUGCACGUUAAGUACAAAAAACCCACAUACACAUCAGCCACACACGCACAUACACACUCCACUCCGUCCUCUCUGGACUGUCUGCAAACGGAGCGCUAUGAAUCGUUCAGCAUCGAUUUGCCCUACAUUUGUUCCAGAUGUAUCAGCUUCUGUGUUCGUCCACUUCACGACGCGGAUUCCAGGCCUGGGAAGCGUGUCACGUUUUAAUCAACACACCCCCUUUUUCACGCGUGCUACUAAGUCGAACUUUGGCCAAACACUCUCAACGCCGCACUCAACACACUUGUUUGUGAUGACCAGGGACUUUAACCACGCUCGGCUUCCUGCUCAAACGGACAGAAACUGGAGAGAACCCCCAUCAUGUGGCCUAAAUUAGAGAACGUCAUUUCAUGCUUCGUGUAGCAACGUCGUGCAUUUGCUUUGAUUCAGAGGUUCAGAUUGAAGACCCUGUACAUCAGCUCUGCUACUGUUAAAAACGGUGGGAAAACCUUUUUUCCCACAUUGUGUUGUGACUGCUGAGCGUCCGAGGAAAAGCGGUAAAACAAGUAGCCACGUGGCACAAACGGCAAUGACAGGGAAAACGGGAACUUUCUAAAGGCAAAAGCAGCCAGCGGACGUUUUCCUUCAAGCAUGGCAGAGAAACCAGAAUUGAGGAACCGAGGUCAGCUGCUGCUUUACUCGGUACUUUUUUUAAUGGAAAAGACGUGUAAAAGCGGAGAUUCGACUUUGUCCCUGAAAGCAACUUGUGCUCUGCGCGUCGUUACUUUAAGGAUGAAUGAAGCGGGAAGCCGGUGGUUCUCGCUGACGUCGGCGGGCGUAAACCGACCCGUUGACCUUCCCCUUAUCGUGGCGUUUCCUCUCACAGCAGCGCAUGGGUCACUGAGGGGGGGGGAGGAUCGCCUUUUUUACACCUUCUUCUACAAACGUGUAGCACACGCACAGGAAUAGAAAAGUCCCAUUUCAGAAAGCGGAACCGACACAGAGGUUAAAGCUAGCGACGGUCAUCUAUAAUAGAAACAUGCCAUGUCGUGUGAGUCGAAAAGCGCUGGUUCCUCCUCCACGCCGCUGCCCAUUUCUCCUUUGACAGCCUUUUCUUUCCGUCUCCGCUCCAUUAGUCGCCGUACUCGUGACGUCACUUCCCGCCCGGUGCCACAGAAUGGCGUGAUGCACCCGAAGGGAAUCGACUUCUUUCUCGUCGGUGAACCUUUAGCGGGCGGGGAGGACCGACGGCGAGGACGUCAGGAGCGAGUGACUGCCGGCCGGCUGACGUCAUCGCCGCUGAAGGGCGGGUGUUGCUACGGGAAACGGCACAAAGUCCAGGCCCCAAAGACAAACACAGUUAUGCGUUUGGUCGGGAGAGAGUCAGGCAAGUGUUUGGCCAGACAGCAGCAAUCACUUGGGAGUCUUGCAAAUGACCAUAUUUGGAAUGUGGAGGCGUGUCAGUCACAGUAAGCCCCGCCCCAAAGCAUUCCCUGCUUCAUUGGAGUCUAAAUGGACCAUCACUUGCUAAAUGAACUUAAGCUAGAGACCAUAAACUCAUGUUUACACUGUUUACUGAGGGAAUCAGUGGAGGAAGGAGUCAUUUUCUCACAGGCUUGUAUGUGUACAGGGAGUCUCCCCCUGCGGGGGCUUAAUGGGAAACACCUCAAAUAGUACGAGAACUGAACCAGGUGAUCACGUCCCAAUGUCGAGCUAUUACAUUAUUCAUAAACAUGACCAAUUAACGUUAUUCAUCACAUCAUCUGCACUUUAGCCGGUUCCUCUAAUUCUUCUGUUCACACAUGAAUGUUAGAUUUAAAGUACUUCUGUAUCUUGUAAAGCAAUUUCCCCUCUUUACUGUUUAUUCACUGAAGCUGUUUCAUGUUUAUGGUCUUGCUUUACGUUCAAUACUAAUUCCCCUGCAGGACCAGUAAAGUCAUCUAGAGUAAUGCAUCUUUGGCCCCCUGUUAUCCUGGAUGGGGGGAAAACGCAGAGGCCUUAAAGUCCCCGGACGUACGCAGGCCGCAAUGACGCACUACAUGGGCCUAUUUAGACGGCAACGAGCAAUAAGUGGACGCCGUCAACGCAAUGUCCCCCCCCCCCCACUGGUUUGUGGACCACCGUUUUGCGGCAUUAAGUCGCGGCGCUUUUGGCAGCGACAUCUCGGAUCACGCUGGUCGCCGUCUUGAAGUUACGAUAGAGGAGAGCAGUGAAAGAGACACCGCCCGGUCUGAUGGUGAGUUUGACUCUAAAUGGACCAUCAUUUACUAAAUGAUUACUAAAAGAAAGAUUCUAACAGUCAACAAGCAAGUCUGUUGGACAGUAGAUACGAUCCGGUAAAUGAUGCCAAUGACGUCUCUACUUUUGAUGAAGUAAGUAGCUGCUGGUGCUGAUUGACACAUUUGAAUGAGACAUAACGUCUCCUUGCACCCGAAAGUGAGCCGACCCUGAUCGGUGCUGCAUCUGCAGCUCUGCAUUCUGGGUCCACUCAGCCUCACCUUCAAUGCUUUCUUCUUCACAUCUGUCACACCCGCUGCUCCUCCCGGAAGGAAAGAGGCAAACCCAGAUCCCGCUCUCUGCAUCCCGAUCAGCAGACGUAAAGCCGAGACCAGCGGUGGGAAACAUAAUCCCACUGCGCUCACACUGACGGGCUAACUAACCCCGUCUCAGGGGAAGAACAUCUGGACAGGCACUAAACAGGGAUGAGACGCACACUGUAACAAAUUGCUGUAAAUUUACGGUAUGUUACAGUAUGUCAUAAUAACUGUAACAUACAGUUAAAUUUCCAUCCCGUGCUUGUAAAUUAACGGCCAAUGUCAUGAAUAAACAGUUAAAGCUGUCAAUUUACAAUAAUAGCAGACUACCGUAAUUCAACUGCAUGUUACAUAUAUUUUAUGAGGUGGUGGAAAUACACAUACA